rnacentral:rRNA from 1 species
UUGAUACUAUGUGUCUGAAUAUCUGGAGGUAAGCGGAAUAUGUCAGAUAGCGGUGAAAGGGGAGAUCACCCAUGGCACAGCCAUCUCGAAGGCAGCUUACUGACAUCUAUCGACGCUGAGGCAGGAAAGCGCGCGGAUCAAACAGGAUUAGAUACACUGGUAGUCCACGCCGUAACCGAUGGAUACUGGACAUAUCUGAUACUCUGUGCGUGUCUGAGCGAAAGCAUUAAGUAUCCCACCUCGUAAGUAAGUUAAAUAGUCCAAACUCAAAGGAAUUGGCCGGGGUCCGCGCAAGCGGAGGAGUAUGUGGUUUAAAUAACCGAUACGCGAGGAACCUUACCCAGGCUAGAAUGAAGGGAGACCGUGGGUGAAAGCUCCCCAAGUAGCAAGACAGUACCUGUAAGGUGCUUCUUGGCAGUUGUCAGCUCGAGCUGUGAGGUGAUGGGUGAAGUCCAGCACCGAGCGCAACCCUUAUCAUUAGUUGCCAACAGGGUAAGCUGGGAACUCUAAUGAAACUGCCCCCGUAAGGUGUGAGGAAGGAGGGGAUGAUGUCAAGUCAUCACGUCCUUUAUGCCCAGGGCUACACACGUGCUGCAAUGGGGGAGACAAAGGGCUGCAACAUAGGGAUAUGAAGCCAAUCCCAAAAACUCCCUCUCAGUUCUGAUUGCAGGGUGCAACUGGCGUGCGAGAAGCUGGAUUCGGUAGUUAUCGUAUAUCAGCAAUGAUACGGUGAAGUCGUUCCCGCACCUUGCCCACACCGCCCGUCAAGCCAUCGGAGUCGGGAGUACCUAAAGUCCCCACCCGGAAGGAGCUUCCUAGGGUAAAAUGGAUGAGUGGGGCUAAGUCGUAACAAGGUA